AGAGUUUGAUCCUGGCUCAGAUUGAACGCUGGCGGCAGGCCUAACACAUGCAAGUCGAACGGUAACAGGAAGCAGCUUGCUGCUUUGCUGACGAGUGGCGGACGGGUGAGUAAUGUCUGGGAAACUGCCUGAUGGAGGGGGAUAACUACUGGAAACGGUGGCUAAUACCGCAUAACGUCGCAAGACCAAAGAGGGGGACCUUCGGGCCUCUUGCCAUCAGAUGUGCCCAGAUGGGAUUAGCUUGUUGGUGAGGUAACGGCUCACCAAGGCGACGAUCCCUAGCUGGUCUGAGAGGAUGACCAGCCACACUGGAACUGGGACACGGUCCAGACUCCUACGGGAGGCAGCAGUGGGGAAUAUUGCACAAUGGGCGCAAGCCUGAUGCAGCCAUGCCGCGUGUAUGAAGAAGGCCUUCGGGUUGUAAAGUACUUUCAGCGGGGAGGAAGGUGUUGUGGUUAAUAACCACAGCAAUUGACGUUACCCGCAGAAGAAGCACCGGCUAACUCCGUGCCAGCAGCCGCGGUAAUACGGAGGGUGCAAGCGUUAAUCGGAAUUACUGGGCGUAAAGCGCACGCAGGCGGUCUGUCAAGUCGGAUGUGAAAUCCCCGGGCUCAACCUGGGAACUGCAUUCGAAACUGGCAGGCUUGAGUCUUGUAGAGGGGGGUAGAAUUCCAGGUGUAGCGGUGAAAUGCGUAGAGAUCUGGAGGAAUACCGGUGGCGAAGGCGGCCCCCUGGACAAAGACUGACGCUCAGGUGCGAAAGCGUUGGGAGCAAACAGGAUUAGAUACCCUGGUAGUCCACGCCGUAAACGAUGUCUACUUGGAGGUUGUGCCCUUGAGGCGUGGCUUCCGGAGCUAACGCGUUAAGUAGACCGCCUGGGGAGUACGGCCGCAAGGUUAAAACUCAAAUGAAUUGACGGGGGCCCGCACAAGCGGUGGAGCAUGUGGUUUAAUUCGAUGCAACGCGAAGAACCUUACCUGGUCUUGACAUCCACAGAACUUUCCAGAGAUGGACUGGUGCCUUCGGGAACUGUGAGACAGGUGCUGCAUGGCUGUCGUCAGCUCGUGUUGUGAAAUGUUGGGUUAAGUCCCGCAACGAGCGCAACCCUUAUCCUUUGUUGCCAGCGAUUAGGUCGGGAACUCAAAGGAGACUGCCAGUGAUAAACUGGAGGAAGGUGGGGAUGACGUCAAGUCAUCAUGGCCCUUACGACCAGGGCUACACACGUGCUACAAUGGCGCAUACAAAGAGAAGCGACCUCGCGAGAGCAAGCGGACCUCAUAAAGUGCGUCGUAGUCCGGAUUGGAGUCUGCAACUCGACUCCAUGAAGUCGGAAUCGCUAGUAAUCGUGGAUCAGAAUGCCACGGUGAAUACGUUCCCGGGCCUUGUACACACCGCCCGUCACACCAUGGGAGUGGGUUGCAAAAGAAGUAGGUAGCUUAACCUUCGGGAGGGCGCUUACCACUUUGUGAUUCAUGACUGGGGUGAAGUCGUAACAAGGUAACC
rnacentral:rRNA from 1 species